UGAGGAAUAUUGGUCAAUGGGCGAGAGCCUGAACCAGCCAAGUAGCGUGAAGGAUGAAGGUCCUACGGAUUGUAAACUUCUUUUAUAAGGGAAUAAAACGCUCCACGUGUGGAGCCUUGUAUGUACCUUAUGAAUAAGCAUCGGCUAACUCCGUGCCAGCAGCCGCGGUAAUACGGAGGAUGCGAGCGUUAUCCGGAUUUAUUGGGUUUAAAGGGAGCGCAGACGGGAUGUUAAGUCAGCUGUGAAAGUUUGCGGCUCAACCGUAAAAUUGCAGUUGAUACUGGCGUUCUUGAGUGCAGUUGAGGUGUGCGGAAUUCGUGGUGUAGCGGUGAAAUGCUUAGAUAUCACGAAGAACUCCGACUGCGGAGGCAGCUCACUAAACUGUAACUGACGUUCAUGCUCGAAAGUGUGGGUAUCAAACAGGAUUAGAUACCCUGGGUAGU
rnacentral:rRNA from 1 species